rnacentral:lncRNA from 1 species
AUCUCAACUCUCACCCAUUGCGACUUUGAAUUUUUUCUCUCCUCCUCUCACGGCCUCACUCUCGUCUCUGAACCCUCUACGCGACGCUGACGCUGCCGUCGCCUUCCGUCCAUUAGCAAUUCCUUUGUGCUGAUUGAUUGAGAAUGGAGAUGGGUAAAUCUUAUUACAAGGACUCUUUGCAAUGUGUAAGAAUUGCUGUAAAUAUUAGACCACUGAUUAAAUCCGAGCUUGAUGUAGGAUGUACUAACUGCAUCUCCGUGUUCCUAGCUGAAAGUCACGUAGUCAUUCAACUAAUUUUUUUACAAGGUUUGCUGCAUUGAGUUUUAUAUGUGAGGGGAUGGGUUUGAACUUUGGACAUUAAGUUUGUUCUGGAGUUCCAUGGGUGAGAUCUUAUUUGGGGAAAGAACUACAUUUUUUUAGAGCACGAGUUCCUUCUGUAUAUGAUUUUUAGCAUUUCAGGAAGGAGAAGUUUGCUUCUUUUUUGCACAGCGUCUCUUAAAAUCCAAACUGAUAGAUGCAUAUUGAUAUGUAUAAGUUAUUACCAUGGAGGUUCAAUAAGCUUGUUUUAAUAUUGCUCGUAGACUAGUAAAUUAAGUUGCAGAAUAUCGUUUGAAGGGUAUCAUUAUUUUUUCUGUCUAACUAUAUUAAAAUAAAUAGCGCCGGAUUUGGUGACCAGCUUACUCUUAUUAUUGAUUCGAUCAUGUUCAUAAAUGUGUUUAACAUUUUUUGUUUUGGGGUGGAGGAGGAUGAGGGAGAUGCACUGCACAAAGUGUGAGAGUUGUUAAAAUUUUGAGAAUAUUCAAAACUAAGUUAGCAAAAGAGCGUACAUUAAAAUUUUGAGAAUAUUCAAUUUUGACCAGAUGUACUGUUUUUUACUAUUGAAGAACUUGGUGCGAGUUCAGAUUUUUUGAGGAAUACUUUUGGGUUUCAAUUAUGUAAUAUGAGUAUUAAAAGAGCGUACAUUGAGAUUUUGUAGGUCCAAUGAUAGGACAAUGGAAAAUCUCCAUUUUUUAAGUGAAUAGCAAAAUAUCGAGAAAUCGAUUGUUUAAGAGAAAAUAUAUAAUUUAAUUUUUGACCACACAACGAAGAAUGUAUGGGUCUGCAACUGAUAGUGUUGUGAUGCUUUUGUUGUAGUGUUAAUUUGAGGAUUCUGGUGGAGCAGCAUAAAUAGAAUUUUGUUCUUCAUCUCCAAUGACAAAUUAUGUGAUUUGAAAAUUUGAACCUCGAGAAUGUAAGUUUCCUUUUUUUUUUUUUUUUUUUUUUUUUUUUUUUUUUUUUUUCUAUUUAUGUUUAUAAUAUUUUUGGCAAAUAAUUUUCAUUUUUUAUUAAUUUACAUGUUAUCGAUGUAUAAUUUGUUUUAUUUAACAAUGUAUAAAGAUGACAUGUAUUUGAUUUAGAUACAAGCAGUUUAAAG